UACGGGGGGGGCAAGCGUUGUUCGGAAUUACUGGGCGUAAAGGGCUCGUAGGCGGCCAACUAAGUCAGACGUGAAAUCCCUCGGCUUAACCGGGGAACUGCCUCUGAUACUGGAUGGCUUGAGAUUGGGAGAGGGAUGCGGAAUUCCAGGUGUAGCGGUGAAAUGCGUAGAUAUCUGGAGGAACACCGGUGGCGAAGGCGGCAUCCUGGACCAACACUGACGCUGAGAGACGAAAGCUAGGGGAGCGAAUGGG
rnacentral:rRNA from 1 species